UCCGGAGGGUGCAAUCGUUACUCGGAAUCACUGGGCGUAAAGGGCGCGUAGGCGGCCUAGCAAGUCUGGUGUGAAAGCCCAGGGCUCAACCCUGGAAGGGCACUGGAAACUGUUAGGCUUGAGUUCCGGAGAGGAGGGGGGAAUUCCCGGUGUAGCGGUGAAAUGCGUCGAUAUCGGGAGGAAUAUCGGUGGCGAAGGCGCCCCUCUGGACGGAAACUGACUCUGAGGCGCGAAAGCCUUGGGAGCAAACAGG
rnacentral:rRNA from 1 species